UCCGAGUUGUCCCCGGCAGUCUCCCAUGAGUCCCCGGCAUUACCCGCUGGCAACUAAGAGCAGGGGUUGCGCUCGUUGCGGCACUUAAGCCAACACCUCACGACACGAGCUGACGACAGCCAUGCAGCACCUUGCUACCUGCCCGAAGGAAACCCCCUUUCAGGGGCUGUCAGGUAGCAUUCGAGCCUGGGUAAGGUUCUUCGCGUUGCAUCGAAUUAAUCCGCAUGCUCCGCCGCUUGUGCGGGCCCCCGUCAAUUCCUUUGAGUUUUAGCCUUGCGGCCGUACUCCCCAGGCGGGGCACUUAAUGCGUUAGCUACGGCGCGGAAAACGUGGAAUGUCCCCCACACCUAGUGCCCAACGUUUACGGCAUGGACUAC
rnacentral:misc_RNA from 1 species